GAUGAACGCUGGCGGCGUGCUUAACACAUGCAAGUCGAACGAUGAAGCCCAGCUUGCUGGGUGGAUUAGUGGCGAACGGGUGAGUAACACGUGAGUAACCUGCCCUUAACUCUGGGAUAAGCCUGGGAAACUGGGUCUAAUAUCGGAUAGGAGCGUCCACCGCAUGGUGGGGGUUGGGAAGAUUUUUCGGUGUUGGAGGGACUCGCGCCCUAUCAGCUUGUUGGUGGGGUAAUGUCUCACCAAGGCGACGACGGGUAGCCGGCCGGGGAGGGUGACCGGCCACACGGGAACGGAGACACGGCCCAGACUCCUACGGGAGGCAGAAGUGGGGAAUAUUGCACAAUGGGCGCAAGCCUGAUGCAGCGACGCCGCGUGGGGGAGGACGGCCUUCGGGUGGUAAACCUCUUUCAGUAGGAAGGAAGCGAAAGGGACGGUACCUGCAGAAGAAGCACCGGCUAACUACGU
rnacentral:rRNA from 1 species